CUCUCCGUCUUUGGGGAGUAGCCUGCUUUCCGCCCCCGGAAAGCGAACGCGUCAACACACUCGGCUUGCGGCCGUGGCGCGUUCGGCCUGAUCGGCUUGGCGAGACCAUCGGCACAUCG
rnacentral:sRNA from 1 species